rnacentral:rRNA from 1 species
AGAAGUUUGUAUCCUGGCGUCACGGGAAGUGAACGGCUGGCGGGUCACUUGGCUUAACUACCAUGCAAGUCGGAACGAGGAAGUGGUGGUUUCCGAGUGGCGAACGGGUGGAGUAACGCGUAAGAACCUAGCCCUUGGGAGGGGAACGAACGACUGGAAACGGUUGCUAAUACCCCGUAGGCUGAGGAGCAAAAGGAGAAAUACCGCCCAACGGAGGGGCGUCGCGUCUGAUUAGCUAGUUGGUGAGGUAAUAGCUUACCAAGGCGAUGAUCAGUAGCUGGUCCGAGAGGAUGAUCAGCCACACUGGGACUGAGACACGGCCCAGACUCCUACGGGAGGCAGCAGUGGGGAAUUUUCCGCAAUGGGCGAAAGCCUGACGGAGCAAUGCCGCGUGGAAGUGGAAGGCCUACGGGUCGUCAACUUCUUUUCUCGGAGAAGGAACAAUGACGGUAUCUGAGGAAUAAGCAUCGGCUAACUCUGUG